rnacentral:sRNA from 1 species
CUCUUGCUCAAUCCCUGGAUCACAAAAAUCUCUUCGUUCGAGCCGCAGCCGCCUCACAGAUGAUGUUAGCAGUGAUGCCAAGAUUUUUCUCUUUACCUUCUCGGGCGUUCACGGUGUAAGUCGCCAGAAAGGACCUUCACGCUCUCACAUUACCUCUCAAACAUACCGGAAGCUUCCUACACUCUCCCAUGGACGUCCCAUGGCAUCCAACUAUCCGUUUGGGGGGUAUAUGUUCAUGUGGCUCCGACCGGAAUCGGAUAGAUAUGGCUCAACACCUGACUCGACAAAAGUCUUUUAUUGGUCGACUGUUGGGAACCGUGGAAGGAUCAGGUUGGGUUUACCUGCUGGCAUUCGUUCCGGCCUCGGCCAUAUCAUACCAACCCUUGACCCGAGUCGGUGGUCAAAUGUAGUCAACUGCAGCAAGCCGAUUCGAAGACGGAGCGGAGUUCGGCUUGGGUCGCCUGUGGAUCGGAAAGCGACAGGCGAGGAUGGGUUAUUUGGUACAGCACAGAGUCGAGAAAUGACAGGGAUAUUGGAUAAUUGCUCCCAUUGCCGUUCAAGGGCUUCUAAUCAAGCAAAAUGAAGGAAUGCCUCGGACCGGGGUGCGGUGUGUGAACUUUGGUUGUCCGCUGGUUGUCCCAAGCUAUCGUCGCCCUUCUCCCUUGCGAACCAACCCUCGAUGAAAAGAGAGAGGAAGAAGUCCGUAUACAUCGUUCUUUUCUAUACGGAGCGGUUAUUACCAAAUGAGCUCUUCUUUCGCUUCCUAUACUCGUCCGUGGGAGGGGAGAGAGAGGUGCUGAACUCUUGGCGCUCAAGCUUUCUGGAAAUCUCUUAUGACCUUCUGUUCUACAUAGGUAUAAGCUCUGCUGACAUUAGGCUUACAGUCGUCUUGCCACAUGCUCCGCAAUUCUCAAACUUAAACCGCCACCCAACAACGGUUGAUAAAUACUCAUUUCAUCAGCCGUCGAGCUCAUAAUUCCUCAAGCAGACUUAUCGACUGCCAUUUCCCAACUCCGGCGAUGGGCAUUUUUAUUAUACCUACUACCUCUUCCUAAUUUGACAUGCCUCACUUCACAACUUCUCGGCCCGAUCGAAGGUGUGUGCGAUGGACGACGUCACUGACUGUACCAUACGCAGAAUGAUCUUUUCAAUUAUCUGUCACUCGCCGUAUACAAGGUCUCUAUUGGGAGCGUAGAUGGUAUGAAUCAGGAGGGUAAUCGGAUAAUCGGUAAUUAGUAUAUCUAUCAUAUCUCUGCUCUCGUCGUGGACACCAGAAGCCCGACGAGCAGUUUGACAUCCAGAGGCUAUGGGUGACUUCAAUCUUGAAAUUUUACAACAUUUCCUUCUCUACUGGCGGCAACACGCUUAGUUUUCCCUGGUUUUCGUUUUAACGAUUGAACAGUUCUUCAUCCCACUUCCCACCUGCAGGUGGGCAUUGUGGUGUCCUUCCCAUGUCUCCGAAGUCUAACUCAUCUGUCGUCCGGCGGCUUUGGUGAGAUGUUAUGGAGGAAUGGGCGGGGCCCUGUAACAAUGUCGAUUUGCAGUUAUAUACUUGCUUCUAAACGUUCUGAUUGACUAUCUAUCAUAUGCAUACAUGACAAGCC